rnacentral:rRNA from 1 species
GGUCAAGUGACGAAGCGCAUCUGGUGAAUGCCUUGGCAGUUGAAGGCGAUGAAGGACGUUGCAAUCUGCGAUAAGCCUCGGGAAGUCGAUUAGCAGACUCUGAUCCGGGGAUUUCCGAAUGGGGAAACCCAGUGUCUUCGGACACUAUUACGUGCUGAAAGGAAGUGAUUCUUAUAGGUACGUAAAGCAAACCCGGCGAAUUGAAAUAUCUAAGUAACCGGAGGAAAAGAAAUCAACCGAGAUUCCCUUAGUAGUGACGAGCGAAAAGGGAGUAGCCCAUCAAGCUGCGGAAGCGUUAGUGGAAGCUUUCUGGAAAGAAGCACGACAAAGGGUGACAGUCCCGUACGCGAAAACGCCUCCGUAGUGACGUCGAGUAGGGCGGGACACGUGAAAUCCUGUCUGAAUAUAGGGGGACCAUCCUCUAAGGCUAAAUACUCUCAACUGACCGAUAGUGGACGAGUACCGUGAGGGAAAGGUGAAAAGUACCCCUGUUAGGGGAGUGAAACAGUACCUGAAACCGGAUGCGUACAAGCAGUGGGAGCGGCCGUUUCGACGGCUGUGACUGCGUACCUUUUGUAUAAUGGGUCAGCGACUUACUCUUGCUGGCGAGGUUAACCGUUUAGGGGAGCCGUAGGGAAACCGAGUCUGAACAGGGCGAUGCAGUCUGUAGGAGUAGACCCGAAACCGGGCGAUCUAACCAUGGGCAGGAUGAAGGUCAGGUAACACUGACUGGAGGUCCGAACCCACCUAUGUGGAAAAAUGGGGGGAUGACCUGUGGUUAGGAGUGAAAGGCUAAUCAAGCUCGGAGAUAGCUGGUUCUCCUCGAAAACUAUUUAGGUAGUGCCUCUUGUAUCACCUCCGGGGGUAGAGCACUGUUUGGGCUAGGGGGUCACCUAGACUUACCAACCCCAUGCAAACUCCGAAUACCGGCGAGUGCAGCAAGGGAGACAGACGGCGGGUGCUAAGGUCCGUCGUCGAAAGGGAAACAGCCCAGACCGCCAGCUAAGGUCCCUAAACCGUGAUUAAGUGGGAAACGAUGUGGGAAGGCAUAGACACCCAGGAGGUUGGCUUGGAAGCAGCCAUCCUUUAAAGAAAGCGUAACAGCUCACUGGUCAAGUCGGCCCGCGCGGAAGAUGUACCGGGUCUUAAAUCACGUACCGAAGCUGCGGGUUCGUGACGGUUCGCCGUCGCGAGCGGUAGAGGAGCGUUCUGUAAGCCGUUGAAGGCAGUUCGCGAGAGCUGCUCGAGGUAUCAGAAGUGAGAAUGCUGACAUGAGUAACGAUAAAGGGGGUGAGAAUCCUCCUCGCCGAAAGACCAAGGGUUCCUGUACAACGUUCAUCGACGCAGGGUGAGUCGGCCCCUAAGGCCAGGCCGAAAGGCGUAGCCGAUGGGAAGCUGGUUAAUAUUCCAGCACCGGCGUUUGUGGCAAUGGGGUGACGGAGAAGGCUAGGCGAUCCUGGAGUUGGUUUUCCAGGUUCAAGCAGGUAGGCUGGGAUUUCAGGCAAAUCCGGAAUCCCUCAAGGCCGAGACGUGAUGCCGAAAUGGAUCCAUCGUAUCCAUGAAGUCGUUGAUGCCACGCUUCCAAGAAAAACCUCUAAGCACUAAUCAAACGUUGACCGUACCCAAAACCGACACAGGUGGUCGGGUAGAGAAUACCAAGGCGCUUGAGAGAACUCGGGU